ensembl:misc_RNA Metazoa_SRP Metazoan signal recognition particle RNA
GCUGGGCAUGGUGGCGCAUGCCUGUAAUCUCACCUACUCGGGAGGCUGAGGCAGGAGAAUUGCUUGAGCCCAGGAGGCAGAGGUUGCAGUGAGCUGGGAUAAUGCUACUGCACUCCAGCCUGGGUGACAGAGCAGGACUCUGUCUCAA